UAGAGUUUGAUCCUGGCUCAGAUUGAACGCUGGCGGCAGGCUUAACACAUGCAAGUCGAACGAUGACUCUCUAGCUUGCUAGAGAUGAUUAGUGGCGGACGGGUGAGUAACAUUUAGGAAUCUGCCUAGUAGUGGGGGAUAGCUCGGGGAAACUCGAAUUAAUACCGCAUACGACCUACGGGUGAAAGGGGGCGCAAGCUCUUGCUAUUAGAUGAGCCUAAAUCAGAUUAGCUAGUUGGUGGGGUAAAGGCCCACCGAGGCGACGAUCUGUAACUGGUCUGAGAGGAUGAUCAGUCACACCGGAACUGAGACACGGUCCGGACUCCUACGGGAGGCAGCAGUGGGGAAUAUUGGACAAUGGGGGCAACCCUGAUCCAGCCAUGCCGCGUGUGUGAAGAAGGCCUUUUGGUUGUAAAGCACUUUAAGCAGGGAGGAGAGGCUAAUGGUUAAUACCCAUUAGAUUAGACGUUACCUGCAGAAUAAGCACCGGCUAACUCUGUGCCAGCAGCCGCGGUAAUACAGAGGGUGCGAGCGUUAAUCGGAAUUACUGGGCGUAAAGCGAGUGUAGGUGGCUCAUUAAGUCACAUGUGAAAUCCCCGGGCUUAACCUGGGAACUGCAUGUGAUACUGGUGGUGCUAGAAUAUGUGAGAGGGAAGUAGAAUUCCAGGUGUAGCGGUGUAAUGCGUAGAGAUCUGGAGGAAUACCGAUGGCGAAGGCAGCUUCCUGGCAUAAUAUUGACACUGAGAUUCGAAAGCGUGGGUAGCAAACAGGAUUAGAUACCCUGGUAGUCCACGCCCGUAAACGAUGUCUACUAGCCGUUGGGGGUCCUU
rnacentral:rRNA from 1 species